UCUGGUUGAGAAAAUACAUAUUGUGACAUACUGUAUUUUACUGGUUUGGGGUAUUUGCCUGUUUUAUAGCAGGCCAAUGCAAAAGAGCCAGUUGAUGGUGGUGAGUCUUGAUGACCUACGUCUAAUUGUAGCACUUUUAAUGCAUUUAUACAAGUACUCAAAAAUGGCAGAACACCAGAAUAUUAGACAGCUGUAGUAGUAGCAGCAGUGGUAGAAACAGUAGUAGUUGUAGGCAUCGUCAUGGUGUAACUGUAUCUUAAGUUGUGUGUGGAAGUGUAGCUGCUAUUAAGUGUAGUCAGGCUGGUCAGGCGAGCACUACAAUGCACUCUUCCUCUGGGUUUUGUCUGGAAUGUGUUUACUAGUUCUACAUUGUGUCUGUGUGUGUGUGUGUAUGAGCGAGAGAGAGAGAGAGGGAGAGAGAGAGAGAGACCAAUGGACUCUCUCUUUCUCACACACACACACACACACACACACACACACACACACACACACACACACACACAGUUUUAGCAGUCAUGCUAUGUCCAUAUUUGAGCCUUUUAUAUUAUCUAUUGAAGCUAGAAAUAGUUUAGUCCUGUUUACACAAAUGUUGAUUACCUUUAAUAAUUAAGUUGAUGUUACUUUAACUAACUGUCCCAAUUCACAGAUUUAGCAAUUAACUGUGGUUUUCCACGUGAAAAUGGAAACACUAUAUGGAAGAGAUCUUUGGAGUAGAGGCAAUAGGCUGAAAAUAGCUGUGUCACAGUCUCCAAAAUGCACCUCCUCAGACUGCUGACCUUCAUUUAGAAACCACACAACAAGCUUUUGCAAGGUCACAGUGUCACAUAAUUUGCACAAAGCCCAUUCUGAAUGAGACCAACAUGUUGGCACCAGAACAGUUGUGUAAUAGUUGGUAGAUAAGGCCAGUAGUAGACACAGACAUUAGCAAAUCACAGACCUACCAUCUUUCCUUGUAAUGUAAAAGUCAUACUCUUCUUGCUGAAAUAUUCAGAAAGAAAGAAGCAGUGAGUCAGCAAAAGUCAGACUAACUCACCUUGCUUCUCAUAGCCAGACAAUGCAAUAAAAGUUGGUCUAAUUGGCUCAAAUAUAAAAAAUAAAAAAAAAGAUCCACCCUGGGAUACUUUUAUAUCACUGUCAUAUGUUCAAUGCGUUUACGGAUUUGCUGUGUGGUGAAGUGUUGUAAUUGUCUUGAGGCUACUCUGGGUGAAAUUGGAUUCUGCCUUCUCCGGAUUUUUAAAGGGGCUGUAUUGAUAUUCAGAA